AUUGAACGCUGGCGGCAUGCUUUACACAUGCAAGUCGGACGGCAGCGGGGUAGUGCUUGCCCUACUGCCGGCGAGUGGCGAACGGGUGAGUAAUAUAUUGGAACGUACCGAGUAAUGGGGGAUAACCAAUCGAAAGAUUGGCUAAUACCGCAUACGCUCUGAGGAGGAAAGCAGGGGACCUUCGGGCCUUGCGUUAUUCGAGCGGCCAAUAUCUGAUUAGCUAGUUGGUGGGGUAAGGGCCUACCAAGGCGACGAUCAGUAGCGGGUCUGAGAGGAUGAUCCGCCACACUGGGACUGGGACACGGCCCAGACUCCUACGGGAGGCAGCAGUGGGGAAUUUUGGACAAUGGGCGCAAGCCUGAUCCAGCCAUGCCGCGUGUCUGAAGAAGGCCUUCGGGUUGUAAAGGACUUUUGUUAGGGAAGAAAAAGGAGCGGUUAAUACCCGUUUCUGCUGACGGUACCUAAAGAAUAAGCACCGGCUAACUACGUG
rnacentral:rRNA from 1 species